GCCGCCGCCGCCGAUGAUGAUGAUGAUGAUGAUGAUGAUGAUGAUGCUGCUGCUGCUGCUGCUGCCGACGCUGCUGCUGCUCCGUGGCAGGAGGAGCCAUUGACACCGCCGUAGACACCACACGCUCAAGUGAAAGUUUUUCAAAUACUUGAAGAUAGCCAUUAUGUCACCUUUGACUUUACUCUUCUUCAGACAUAUAUCACAGUACCUUCAAUUGAUUUGAGUCACUGAGUCUCUUUGGACUUGAAGUGCUUCUGGCUUCCAGCUUCAAGAGAGAAGAUGGAUGAUGCCCACUCACCUUCAGGUUUAAGAAGAAGCCUCUGGGAAGAAGUUGACAUGAGAAGAGCCGGCAGUCUUUAUCAUAUCUCUAUCACUAGCUUGCUACAUUAGUGACUUCAGAGAGCUUCCUUCUGGUCAUUUACAAAUAUACUGCCUGCCUCUACACAUCAAGACUUCCCUUGUAAUACAGAAAAAGAGUUAAGAAAACUGACAUGGCAACCACAUCUGACAGUGUAUCCCAUCCUGUACGAUUAUGUGUCUUUUGCUUUGAACUAAUGUAGAAGCUAUUUGGCCUGGUGGGGAAAAAGACAUGUUCAUAGGGACUCAUGAGCUGUAUACAUUCUGACCUACAUCUAUAACAUGUCUCAAUACACAGGGGUUGUUUUUAGAGAUGCAUUUGUGAGAGUGACCCAAUGGGUCUACAGAAUACACAAACAAGAAUAAUAUAAAACAACGUGAAAAGUAUAUUAAAGAGGUCUGGAAAAAGUGCCAUGAGCCCCACCAAAAUGGACAUGGAGUUGGUCAUUGCCCUUCAUUCUUGAAGAGAACCCAGAUGACAUCACUGUGUUGGAGUCAAAGUACAGUGUGUCCAACCAUGGCUGAUCAGACCAAUAUGAAUGCAAAGGCUCUACCAGAGGUCAGGUGCAAAUAGAACACAUGAACAUUUGGAGUGGAGCUGUCUCUAAAUGUGUACAUCUCACAUUUCUUUUGAGCUACUGAAAUUCUGUUUCACCCAUAGAGCACCGUGUCUUCUUUGAUGCAGUCAUACCACGCUGGGUGGUUCUUUGCCAGUGUCUCCCAUGUCAUGCAAUUGAUUGCAAAAUUCUUCAGAGAGACUUUG